GAGAUUGCGAGUGACGUUGACACAUGCAAGGAAUUUGUUUAUGUGUGCCAUGCAAAUAUCGACAAAAUGUGGAGUAUUUGAAAUAUAUGACAUGGGAUAUAUGGAAUAUAUAUGUGAAACGCUGAGAAUUUAUUGAUAUUAAGAAGCUGCCUUUUCAGAAACUUUACUGCACAUCUACAGGAUACUUCGGAUCAUGUUCCAAAGGAUGAAUUGGCUGCGUAAAUUGUAGGAGGAAUUGGAGGAAGAAGAUGGCGUGACAGACAGAUAGAGCGGACUAACAACAGAUUACCCGAACUUUCGUGAUACAUUGCGGAGUGAUGCCGAUCGAUACCAGAACCAAACUCAAGCUUACAGCACUGAUGACGAAGGGAACUGAAAAUGUAAAGAUUCAUUCUGAAGAUGGGCAUCGGCGCUAGAUGUAGACUCUGCCCACUCAUAGAUGAUUGGAUUUUUAGAUCCGAUUUCCUCUUCCUCUUCAUCUAUUGAAAUAUCAUCUGUCAUGUAGUCAAAUUACGA